rnacentral:rRNA from 1 species
UACAGAGGUCUCAAGCGUUGUUCGGAUUCAUUGGGCGUAAAGCGCGCGCAGGCGGUCCUUUAAGUCUGAUGUGAAAGCCCACGGCUCAACCGUGGAGGGUCAUUGGAAACUGAGGGACUUGAGUGCAGGAGAGAAGAGUGGAAUUCCACGUGUAGCGGUGAAAUGCGUAGAGAUGUGGAGGAACACCAGUGGCGAAGGCGACUCUUUGGCCUGUAACUGACGCUGAGGCGCGAAAGCGUGGGGAGCAAACAGG